GUACCAAUCCUGAUAUAGUAUAAGGACUACUUAUAUCAGAUAGACCUGUUAUCCCUAAAGUAACUUGCUCACGUGCUCUGUGGCUAACUCAAGAUAGAGACGUAUCUCUUUAAAUGAUUAAGAGUUUAUAUCUUACCCUCGCCCCAAGUAAACCGAAGUAAUCACGGGUAUUUUUAUCACUAUCGGAAAGCUUUUAGGGUCUUUUUGUCCUUUAGGAACAUAUAAGCCUUUUCACUUACAGGUUAAUUUUUAUUAUUGUCUAUAGGAUAACCAUAGUAAUUUGUAAAUUCAUUCAUUCUAUCCUCCAAUUAAGAGGCGCAUUAUUGUGCUACCUUUGCACUGUAUCCUGACCGUGCUAAGGU
rnacentral:rRNA from 1 species